rnacentral:rRNA from 1 species
UAGGGAAUAUUGGACAAUGGGGGCAACCCUGAUCCAGCCAUGCCGCGUGAGUGAAGAAGGCCCUCGGGUUGUAAAGCUCUUUUGUCCGGAAAGAAAAGCUUCGGGUUAAUACCCCGUGGUUCUGACGGUACCGGAAGAAUAAGCACCGGCUGACUUCGUGCCAGCAGCCGCGGUAAUACGAAGGGUGCAAGCGUUACUCGGAAUUACUGGGCGUAAAGCGUGCGUAGGUGGUUGUUUAAGUCUGAUGUGAAAGCCCUGGGCUCAACCUGGGAAUGGCAUUGGAAACUGGGCAGCUAGAGUGCGGUAGAGGGUAGUGGAAUUCCCGGUGUAGCAGUGAAAUGCGUAGAGAUCGGGAGGAACAUCUGUGGCGAAGGCGACUGCCUGGACCAGCACUGACACUGAGGCACGAAAGCGUGGGGAGCAAACAG